AAUGCCACAUUUCGGUGGAGAUUCCGUGAUCACUAAGGCGGUUCUCGCAGGGUGAGGUCUGCUCUGUUCGUUCAGGGCGGGUUGAACCCUGCGAUUUCCCCCCAAAUGUGGGGGAAACGACCGAGCAAUUUGUGGUAGUGGGGGACUGUGUUGUGCACUGUCCCCUG
ensembl:snRNA U1 U1 spliceosomal RNA